CCUUGGUGGUUUUUAUUUCUAUUUUCCUUUCAUGUUUUUCUUAUUUACUUGUAGGUUAUAAUUACUUGUCGCUCAUGUUAGGACUGGUAAUUCCCUUUUUGUGCAUACCUUGACAUUGUGCUAUGGAGCAUGUCUGGAUUUAUAAUUUAUACUAUAGUGUACAUUGUACAUAUUUUAUUGCUAUUAAAUUACAAAAAGCUUAAGUCGAUAAGUGAAGGUAAAUUUUGUAAUUAUAUCAUCUAACACUCUUCCUCAUUUGUGGGCUUGAAAACUAUAGUAGAUGACCUUCUCAACAUUAAUUGAAAGGGAAAUAAUAGUUCCAAGGGUUUGAACACAAGUCCAUCUGGAUCACUUACUCUAAUACCAUCUAAAUCACUGAUUGAACCAAAAGCUUAUACCAAAUUUAAUAUUAUACCAUCUACCAAUUCCUUAUAUUUAAUCUGCUGAAUGUCAAACUUUUUGUUUCUGUGCUCUAUAUUUAUGUCAAACCUGUGUUAGACCACCCAUCAUACACCAAUACAGUAGGAGAAGGAACAGGAAAGAGAAGAAGGACGGGAAGUUGGUUAUGUAACCAACUGCAAGUGGGGACCAUAGGUAAGUGGAGCGUCGACGCACGAUCCACUGAGGGGGACCACGGUAGGGGAGUGAGGGAGCGAAUAUAAAUAAAGAAGAGAAGGAAAGGAGGGGUAGAGAAUUUUUGUUGCAAAAGAAUCCUACUGUUUUAUUCUUGAAAGAUAGGAUAGCAGGUGAGGGAGAGGGAACCUUCGACUGAGAGAAUCCUGUAUUUUCUUCUGCCAUUUUUCAUCUUAGUAAUAUCGCAUAUAUUUCAUCCUUCUAUAUUGGAAGUUGGAAUCCAUCAAUUUGGUAUCAGAGCUCGUCGAUCCAAAAAGAAGUGGGAAACCAUGGUUCAAACCAGAAGCGAAGAGAGAAGAGACACACACGAACAAGAACUCAACAAAAUUCCGGUGAUGGAGGAGAAACUUACCGUGAUGUCACAGAACAUGGAAAACUUGCAGGCUCAAGUGGAGAAAACACACCAGAUGGUGAUGAUCUUCAUGGAGACGAUGGCCAAGGAACGGGUAUUAGCAAGCGGAAAAGGUAUCGACUCGUCAGUACAAGAAACAUGGACGGGAAAAACGGUGGAGGGAGAAAGUUCGGCAAGUAAAGAAACAAAAAAUGGGACGACAGAAAAGAAGGAAGACGGCGAAGGGGAUAACAAUGAUCGAAACAAAUUCAUAAAAGUAGAAAUGCCUGUAUUUGAUGGAGAUGACCCAGAUUCAUGGCUGUUUCGCGCAGAGAGAUACUUUCAAAUACACAAACUAACGGAUUCUGAAAAACUUACGGUUGCCACAAUCAGCUUUGAAGGACCCGCACUCAACUGGUAUCGAUCGCAGGAGGAAAGAGACAAGUUCACCUGCUGGUUAAAUUUAAAGGAGCGAUUACUGAUUCGAUUUCGAUCAUCCCACGAAGGCUCUUUGUAUGGCCGGUUCUUGCGUAUUCAGCAGGAAUCAAGUGUGGAGGAAUAUAGGAAUCUCUUCGAUAAGUGGGUGGCCCCAUUAUCGGAUAUUCCAAAAAAGAUCGUGGAAGAGACAUUCAUGGGAGGGUUGUUACCGUGGAUUAAGGUAGAGAUGGAAUUCUGCAAUCCCGUGGGAUUAGCCGAGAUGAUGAGAUACGCGCAAAUGGUAGAACAACGAGAGAUCCUGAGGAGGGAAGCAAAUUUACCAGGAUAUUCUGGAACGAAAGUCUCAAAUAGCAGCUAUCCUACAACCAAAACAUAUGCUGGUUUAAAGGAACAAGGGAAUAAGGAGAACACAGUAUUCCCAAUACGAACGAUUACCCUGAGAGGAUCGCCGGCGAAGGAGAUUAAGAAAGAAGGACCCUCUAGACGACUCUCAGACGCUGAAUUCCAGGCCAAGAGAGAGAAGGGACUCUGUUUUAGGUGUGAUGAGAAGUAUUACUCCGGGCACAAAUGCAAGGCGAAGGAUAUACGCGAGUUACGGAUGUUUGUGGUCAGAGAUGACGACGUAGAGGAAGAAAUCAGUGAGGAAGACGAAUACGAUCUAAAAGACUUGAAAGCCAUGGAGCUGCAGCACGACCCGGGAGAAGUAGUAGAGUUAUGUAUUAACUCAGUAGUGGGAUUGACGAAUCCGGGAACCAUGAAGAUAAGAGGCACAAUCCAAAACAAGGAAGUUGUCGUGCUGGUCGAUUGUGGAGCCACCCACAACUUCAUAUCCGAUCGGCUAGUCAAGACACUGAAAAUACCCACAAAAGACAUUGCCAACUAUGGAGUAAUACUGGGGUCAGGAACAGCCAUCAAAGGCAAGGGAGUGUGUGAAAAAGUAGAGUUGAAUCUCAUUGGGUGGACAGUCGUGGAGAAUUUCCUACCACUAGAACUGGGAGGGGUAGAUUUGAUAUUGGGAAUGCAAUGGUUACAUUCCUUGGGAGUGACGGAGAUGGAUUGGAGGAAUCUAACCAUGUCCUUUUUUCAUAACAGUAGAAAAGUGGUGCUAAAAGGAGAUCCAAGCUUAAAUAAAACUCAAGUGAGUCUAAAAAAUCUCACUAAAUCAUGGGUGGAAACGGACACGGGGUAUCUGAUUGAGUGCAGAACAUUGGAGGCAUGCCAAACUGAGAUAAAAAUUGAAGAGAACGAAACUGAACCUGAGGGCAUCCUGGCAGUUCUAACACAGUAUAAGGAUGUCUUCGAGGAGCCUAAGGAACUGCCUCCCAGCAGGGAUAUUGAACACCAUAUACACAUAAGGGGAGGAGCAGACCCGGUGAAUGUCCGGCCUUAUCGGUACGCAUUCCAACAGAAAGAAGAAUUGGAAAGACUGGUGGACGAAAUGAUGGCGUCAGGAAUUAUACGCCCUAGCACAAGCCCCUACUCCAGUCCCGUUCUCCUGGUCAAGAAAAAAGAUGAGAGCUGGCGAUUCUGCGUGGAUUAUCGGGCGCUCAAUAACAUAACCGUUCCAGAUAAGUUUCCUAUCCCCGUUGUGGAAGAACUAUUUGAUGAGUUGAACGGUGCCAGCUUAUUUUCCAGAAUAGACCUGAAGGCUGGUUAUCAUCAAUUGAGAAUGUGUAGUCGAGAUAUAGAGAAAACGGCCUUUAGAACUCACGAGGGACAUUACGAGUUCUUAGUGAUGCCGUUUGGACUCACAAACGCACCAGCAACCUUCCAAUCACUAAUGAAUUCUAUUUUUAGGUCCUAUCUGAGGAAAUUUGUCUUAGUUUUCUUUGAUGAUAUACUAGUUUAUAGCAGGAAUCUAGAGGAACACUGUCAACACAUGGAACUAGUGCUGGAAGUAUUAAGGGAGCAUAAGUUGUUUGCCAACCGAAAGAAAUGUUGCUUUGCGGGUUCAAAGGUAGAAUAUCUGGGACAUGUAUUAUUGGGAAGAGGAGUAGAAGUUGACCCUGAAAAAAUUAGAGCAGUCAAGCAAUGGCCAAUACCAACAAACGUUCGUGAGGUUAGAGGAUUCUUGGGGCUGACUGGUUAUUAUCGUCGUUUUGUACAGCAUUAUGGAUCCAUGGCGGCACCCCUGACGCAGCUGCUCAAGCUCGGCGCAUUUAAAUGGAAUGAAGAAGCACAGGAGGCGUUUGAGAAGCUUAAACAAGCAAUGAUGACUCUACCCAUAUUAGCUCUACCCGAUUUCAAUGUGCCCUUCGAAGUAGAGACAGAUGCGUCAGGCUAUGGAAUUGGGGUGGUACUAAUGCAGAAUAAAAGACCUAUAACGUUUUAUAGCCACACACUGGCACUGCGCGACCGAUCCAAACCAGUAUACGAGAGGGAAUUAAUGGCAGUGGUAAUGGCAGUUCAACGCUGGCGACCCUAUCUACUUGGGAGGACGUUUAUAGUUAAAACAGAUCAGAGAUCACUAAAAUUCUUACUGGAGCAGAGAGUCAUCCAACCGCAAUAUCAGAAGUGGAUUGCAAAGCUGCUGGGAUACUCUUUCGAGGUGAUGUACAAACCAGGGUUGGAAAACAAGGCAGCAGAUGGCCUCUUGCGAAUACCUCCAACUGCCCAUCUUAACCAACUAACCGCUCACACUUUGGUAGACAUCAAAGUAAUCAGAGAGGAAGUUGACAAAGAUGAAUAUCUGAAGAAUAUCAUCGACAAAAUUCAGAAGGAGGAAGAGGUAAAGAACUACACUGUGCAACAAGGCAUAUUGAGAUACAAAGGGAGGUUAGUAAUCGCAAAGAAUUCCUCAUUAAGACCAGCCAUUCUGCAUACCUAUCAUGAUUCAGUCCUAGGGGGUCAUUCAGGAUUCUUAAGAACAUAUAAACGAAUAACAGGAGAGCUGUUUUGGGUAGGAAUGAAGGCAGAAGUGCGCAAAUAUUGCGAGGAAUGCAUGACAUGCCAGCGGAAUAAAACCUUAGCGUUAUCUCCAGCAGGAUUAUUGACCCCCCUCGAGGUACCAAAGAGAGUAUGGGAGGAUAUAACCAUGGAUUUUAUCGAAGGAUUGCCUAAAUCAAUGGGGUUUGAUGUCAUAUUUGUAGUGGUGGAUCGCUUAAGCAAAUAUGCACAUUUCCUCAACCUUAAACAUCCCUUUGACGCAAAAAUGGUAGCUGAACUAUUCGUUAAAGAAGUGGUAAGACUACAUGGGUUUCCACAGUCAAUUGUAUCUGAUAGGGACAAGAUCUUUCUGAGUCACUUUUGGAAAGAACUCUUUCGUUUAGCUGGUACCAAGUUAAACCGAAGCACAGCCUACCACCCCCAGACAGACCGACAGACAGAGGUGGUCAACAGGUCGGUUGAAAUCUAUCUAAGAUGCUUCUGCGGGGAAAAACCGAAGGAUUGGAUGAAAUGGUUACCCUGGGCUGAAUAUUGGUAUAAUACAACAUUCCAAAGAUCGUUGGGCGUGUCACCGUUCCAAGCUGUGUACGGGAGAACCCACCAGCCCUGCUAUAUUACGGAGAACGGGAAACUUCCAACUCAACCUUGGAUGAGCAACUGAAGGAAAGAGAUGUAGCAUUGGGGGCCUUGAAGGAACACCUACGCAUAGCUCAGGACAAGAUGAAAAGUUAUGCUGACAUGAAGAGAAGACAUGUCGAAUUCGAAGAAGGAGAUCAAGUGUUCCUAAAAAUUAGGCCAUACAGACAGGUAUCCUUACGGAGAAAGAGGAAUGAGAAGCUAUCACCGAAGUAUUUCGGGCCUUAUAAGAUAGUGAAGCGAAUUGGUCAGGUGGCAUAUCGGCUGGAACUACCAGCGGCAGCAACAAUCCACCCUGUGUUCCAUGUGUCACAGUUAAAAAAAGCUUUUGGGGAGAGUGCGAAUAGCGAAGAGCUGUUGCCAUUUUUGACUGCAAAUCACGAGUGGAAGGCCGUGCCACAAGAGACUUACGGUUAUAGAGAAAACGAAACAGGAGGGUGGGAGGUUUUAAUGAGUUGGAAAGGUCUGCCGCAUCAUGAAGCCACAUGGGAAAGCUAUGACGACUUUCAGCAAUCUUUCCCCGAUUUCCACCUUGAGGACAAGGUGAAACUGGACCGGGAAUGCAAUGUUAGACCACCCAUCAUACACCAAUACAGUAGGAGAAGGAAUAGGAUAGAGAAGAAGGACGGGAAGUUCGUUAUGUAACCAACUGCAGGUGGGGACCACAGGUAAGUGGAGCGUCGACGCACGAUCCACUGAGGGGGACCACGGUAGGGGAGUGAGGGAGCGAAUAUAAAUAAAGAAGAGAAGGAAAGGAGGGGUAGAGAAUUUUUGUUGCAAAAGAAUCCUACUGUUUUAUUCUUGAAAGAUAGGAUAGCAGGUGAGGGAGAGGGAACCUUCGACUGAGAGAAUCCUGUAUUUUCUUCUGCCAUUUUUCAUCUUAGUAAUAUCGCAUAUAUUUCAUCCUUCUAUAUUGGAAGUUGGAAUAGUUGGAAUCCAUCAACCUGUUUACUUCUUUACAAGGAGGAACGUAUGCUAUUCAUUUUUUCAAUCCACUUAGGUGCACGUAGAAUCUUGCAAUUCACUUAGCUUUGUGUCUAUUACUUCUGACGCAUACUACUAUAUACUGAUUAUAUCAUACAUAUGUAUAUUCUUUUGCAUGUAUAAACAUAUUAUUAUCUUUUUAUUGAUGAAUAACCAGACUUUCGUGAGAAAAAUGAAAGAAUACGCAUUUUUAUGAAAGUAAAGCUUCCAAAGGGAGCCAAACUACAAAAAUUGACCUUAGUCGAGUAACAUAAUAAGACCAAUAGGGUAAUUACAAAAUGACCUUGUCAUGGAAACCCAAAUAGAAUCAUAGAAUCUAACAAGGGACCAAACGUUCCCUGUAAGACCUGUCUAAAGAUUUUAUUAUUUCUCUCGCUUCAUAGAUCUCAGAAAAUAGCACACCUCAACCUACCACAAGAAUAAUCUUCUCCCUAUAACCUUGAGAGCUAAGCAAAAGUUCAACGUCUCAUAAAAACACCUCCAAAUAGCACUAUCAUUAUUACAUCCUCAGAAGUUAUGAUCAUGGUCCUCUGUUGCCCUCCAGCAAAUAACACAACAAAGCCAACCUACCAAAAUGGACCCCCUGGCUGAGAUUCGUUCCCAAAGGUUUUUACUCUUUAAUGCAUAGCUUGUCACUUGAAGAACUUAACCUUAUUGAGAAUUUUCACCUUUCGAACAAAGGAAAAAACAGAACCACUCAAAUUGGAGGAACUAACCAAACAUAAGGGGGAGGAACUAACCAAACAUUGAAAUAAAGAUUUGGAGGAGAAGGUUUGGAUAGACAGGGCGUUGAAAGGUGAAACAUCCAUCCAACCAGUGUAAAGUGAAAGUCUACAAGCAAAGCCAAAGUAUAUGUUGCUUCCUUUAUGAUCAAGAAACUACAGAACUCCCAAGAAGAAGGCGGGUUCUCAGAGUGAGAAUGGAUCAAAGCCAUCAAAUAAUGUGUUUACUAUUUCCUUAUCAAACUAAAUUAGUCUACACACUAAACACAUACUAUUAUAACCCAAACUAAAAUAAUCUACACCCCAAACACAAAGUAGUCUAAUCAAACUAUAAUAACCAAAGACUAUAAUAACUCACUCCUUACCCAAACACCCCCUUAAGUUUUGAGGAUUGGUGAUUUUAAAAGUGAACGGAAGGAUUUUGUUUUUCUUUGAAAAGAAACAACGUUUUACAUUGAUAUAAUGAAAAAAAGCAAAAGGUCAAUUUAUAAUAUCACAUGAAACAAAAAUUAAACCGAAAAAAUAAAUACAAUCCUGGAUAAGCAUAAGACAGAUAAUUUUCCCAAUAGAGAAACCUUAGUUUCUUUGAAUGGAGAAAAACCUUUAGUUUUAAAUUAUUCCUUUACUGGUUUAAAAUUCCAUUGUCUAAAAGCUGCUUUACAUUGUUGAUCUCAUUCAUUAAUCGUAAGUUCAGUUAAAAAUGCAUGCAAGUGGAGUGUUAGUGAAGGAUAUGAGUGGUUAUUUUAACCCCCAAAACUGCUCACUCUUUUAGGGUAAGGGAUUAUUUAAUAUGGUUAAUUUUAGCAACUCAACAAAACGAAGCCCACUCGUGAGGCAUCUUAGGACUGCCUUAUAUAAGAUUGGAUGAACAUUAACUUUCAUUCAGCUAAUUAGCAUCACAACUUUAGAGUCUGGUCUAAUUACUCAACACAACAAACGUUAAAAACAGCUAGAACAAUACAUGGUUCAUAUGGUGCAUUGUCAUUAUUGGUAAACUUACAUAUGUAGCUGGUCUGGCUGCUAAAUUUAUAGGAUAUAUAGAAGUUUGAAGAACAUUGCAUACCAAAUGUGAUGGAUCUGGUGACAAUAAUGCAUAAGUGACUGAAACAGGAGAUUCCUUCAUGUUGAACAUAUUCUAUGACAAAUUGGAUGAAAUGACCAUGGAUAAAUCAUCCAUGAUCUACCUGCUGUUAUUGAAGUUGCAAUCUGUUGCAAGGUUCAAUUAUAUCUAUUUCAGUACUGGUUGGGAGUAAAAGUUGUAGUAUAGAUUGAUAUUCAGAUGAUUUUGAUAGGGAAUUUAAUUCAUGUUUCAUGAACACAGAUUGCUAGAACAUACCCCAGCUUUAUUCCUGGUGUUUCGUUGUUUUGCGGUUGUGGCUGUCUUAGCUGUAGAGCAGGCAUACUGUAUCUAUUGGUGAUAGUGAAUUGUUGAGAGCUACUGCUUGUUUUAUCUAUUUCCAUUGGUCCAUAGGCCUGGUACUUAAAAAACCGCACAGUCAAGCUUAUUUAACAGGAAGGAAGAGUCCCUUUUCAGGGUCAGCAAUCCGCCUCUUCCUGCCCCACUCUUAGAAAACAAAAAAUGUAAGAAUAUGAAAGAAAAGAGACAGGGAAGAAAGAAAAAAUGGUUCAAGGAAGAAACCCCGAAGUUCUCAAUAAAAGUUGUCUUUUCAAUAAAAAAAAAAUCUUGAUUGGUUAAAAAUAAGCGGUAAGAAUAACUUCUGAAUUCAUACAACUAAUAAAGAGUACAUUUUAAAUGAGUCAACAAUGAAGCAAUUCAAUAAUGUUUGGCUCAUGGUAGGGAGUGUGGCACCGUGAUUGAGGAUGGGACUUGAAUCCCUCAUUUUGGUAUAAAACAAAAGUUGUGUGGUAAUCUUGUUUCUUUUCCAUGUUGUGGGGGAAUUUAACUCAAGAGAAAUAGCAGAACAGGGAGGUUGAAAGAUCUUAGGAGGUUUUUGUUAGUGAUUUUACUACUUGUUUUGUGUGUGAACUUGUUUUCCUUGUAUGCCAUUGUAUAUCCUUUAAUUCUUUUCAAUAAUGAAAGUUUGAUUUUUUACCCAAAAAUAAUAAAGUAAGAGAUGAAGCAUUUCAACAUAAGUUUUGGAUCUCUACCUUCAUUUGCAGUUCUGCAUUUUCCUUACGAGUCAUAUCUAAUCUUUUGUAGAGUUCCACAUUUUCUUGAUGCAUAUGGUUCCCCUGCAACAUAAUUACUGCAAAUUAGAUGUUGUUUCAGCACUUCUUGAUAUCAUGAGAUACGUGGAUGUUUACAGAGGGGAAAACCUUCUGUUUUAGUUCAGUAAUUUCAUCACUUAAAGUCUUUUCCUGCAAGAAAAAUACAAGAACACAUAAACAUCCACAUACAAUAUGCUUUAUCAGUUGUAUGUUUUUAUUGCGGUCUCUUCAUAGUUUUUACCUUCUUCACACGGACGCCUUUCAAACUCAUUUCCAAUUGGCUUUCUAGAUUUUGUAGAUCUUUGACACUCAGGCCAGAUAGCUCUUCACCCAUCAGUUGUCUGCGAAUAUAGAAGCCUGGAUAUAUUAUGAACUCCUUUGCAUAUUUGUGUAAACUAUUGAAUUAUAUUAUCAUCCUGAUCGAUUCAGAUUUGAAAUAUUUUAUUUUAUCUCAGUCGUGAGCAUGCCUUGAUUAUGGUAUAGAGCAUGGAUGUAACUUAAGGUGUUAGUCAAAUAUUAAGUACACCUUUUAUCAGGAUAACCUAAUCUUAAAGAACCAAGGAAUGUGUGAUUUCUACAACUCAUGCUUAAAAUAUAUUCUGAAGUUACCAAUUACCAUGUAAAGUUAUUUCUAGCACUGAGGGUUGAAUGGGGAUUUAGAGCCUUCUAAUAUUGAUAGCUCUUUUCAUAUUGAGAAGAUUCAUGAGGUCGAGCAUUGAGGAAGAACUUAUCAGCCCCAUGAACUAUAGUUGGGUUUAUCCUUGGUGGGGUUUCUCUUUUGAGACAAUGGAAAAAUGAAAAAGUACUGGGGUAAUUCAACAGAAUUCAACCUUCAGAAGGAGCCAAAUAAAACUAACAUGGAGCAUAAUCAAGCAAAAUAAGAGUUAGAAGAUUAUUACUAAAAAUGUAUACCCACCGAGGCUUGUAGAGAGGAGACUAAACAAAUAAAACCAGCCUCCGAAGUCCGAAAUAAGUAAUUUUUAUCCUUUAAUGGAUAGAAAACAGCUCCUUGUUCGCAUAACUUGAGCUCAGAACUGUGGACAUACAAUUGAUUUCCAAAGCAAUACUAUACCUUUAAAAGGAAAAAGGAGAAGCCACAAAAGGUGUGCUUGGAAGGAAGUAAGUUACCAACCGUGGUCUUGUUUCUAGCAAACGUUUGGUAUCUCUCUGUGGUUGAGGAUCUUUGGCUAUGAAGUUAGGGUGGAUUCGCUGUUUCAAGUUAAAGGUCAUUUUGGACCUUGUACAGCUCCUAUUUUCUGCUGCUGUGGCAACUAAUUGGUUGGCAACAAACCAUAGGAAGUUCUCAAGCUUUUAUAGGUCAUCGGUGAAGGAUCGAGGUUGAUGUUUUUCUUUGGUUUCCUUUUUGUAACUUUCUCGUGUAUUGUUAGUUGAGGCUAUCACAUUUUUACGUUUUUCUUGUGAUUGCUUCGAAGUAUUCAAUAGGCUACUACAACGCGGCUAGUAGUAUAAUGCCUCAAACCUAUAUACAACAAUUAAUCAGUAGUUAUAAGGACUGAUCCAUGGAUCAUUAUUGUGAGUAGCUUUAUUUGACUAAGAACCAUAUACUCUGAAGAGAUCAACUCUAGUCAAAAGAUCCGCUUGGUUGUCCAUAAGAGUUAGGAAGACGAUUGGUAUAGGAGUUAACUAAGAAGGCGAUAGAGGUUGAUUUCAUAAACUUCAGGAACCUUGUUUGACCAUGAGAAAAAUAAUGGACCUUAACACUA